rnacentral:sRNA from 1 species
AUAAAUCAAUAUACGUGACUGUGUAUAUUAACAAUAAAAAUGAGUGAAAAAGCAAAAAUAUACACAGUCACGUAUAUUGAUUUAU